rnacentral:rRNA from 1 species
UACGUAGGUCCCGAGCGUUAUCCGGAUUUAUUGGGCGUAAAGCGAGCGCAGGUGGUUUAUUAAGUCUGGUGUAAAAGGCAGUGGCUCAACCAUUGUAUGCAUUGGAAACUGGCAGACUUGAGUGCAGGAGAGGAGAGUGGAAUUCCAUGUGUAGCGGUGAAAUGCGUAGAUAUAUGGAGGAACACCGGUGGCGAAAGCGGCUCUCUGGCCUGUAACUGACACUGAGGCUCGAAAGCGUGGGGAGCAAACAGG